rnacentral:tRNA from 1 species
GGGGAGAUAGCUCGGUGGUAGUGUGUGCUUAGCGUGCACAAGGUCCUGGGUUCAAUCCCCAGCAUCUCUG